ACCCCACAUGGCACAACCUCCUCGUGGUGUGGGGUGGUAACUCACCCAUAUGGGUGAGGCUAAACGUGCCA
rnacentral:ribozyme from 1 species